GGCCGCCUGGCCGCGGGNUUUCCGGUUGAUCCUGCCAGAGGUCACUGCUAUCGGGGUUCGAUUAAGCCAUGCGAGUCGAGAGGGUUCGGCCCUCGGCGUACUGCUCAGUAACACGUGGAUAACCUGCCCUAGGGGAGGGGAUAACCCCGGGAAACUGGGGAUAAUACCCUAUAGGUUACAGAUGCUGGAAUGCCCUGUAACCAAAAGCUCCGGCGCCCUAGGAUGGAUCUGCGGCCGAUUAGGUUGUUGUUGGGGUAACGGCCCAACAAGCCCGUAAUCGGUACGGGUUGUGGGAGCAAGAGCCCGGAGUUGGAUUCUGAGACACGAAUCCAGGCCCUACGGGGCGCAGCAGGCGCGAAACCUUUACAAUGCGGGCAACCGUGAUAAGGGAACCUCGAGUGCCUGUAAACGCAGGCUGUUCAGGUGUUUAAAACGCACCUGGAGAAAGGGCCGGGCAAGACCGGUGCCAGCCGCCGCGGUAAUACCGGCGGCUCGAGUGGUGGCCGCUUUUAUUGGGCUUAAAGCGUUCGUAGCUGGGUUGUUAAGUCUCUUGGGAAAUCUGGCGGCUUAACCGUCAGGCGUCUAAGGGAUACUGGCAAUCUUGGAACCGGGAGAGGUGAGGGGUACUUCGGGGGUAGGGGUGAAAUCCUGUAAUCCUCGAGGGACCACCUGUGGCGAAGGCGCCUCACCAGAACGGCUUCGACAGUGAGGGACGAAAGCUGGGGGAGCAAACCGGAUUAGAUACCCGGGUAGUCCCAGCCGUAAACGAUGCGCGUUAGGUGUAUCGGUGACCACGAGUUACCGAGGUGCCGAAGGAAACCGUGAACGCGCCGCCUG
rnacentral:rRNA from 1 species